rnacentral:sRNA from 1 species
GAAUAGCGAAAGGGAUCGUAGCGUAAAUCCUGCAUAACAUGCAGAUUGCAGCGGAGAGCCCGGUCCACC